GAAGAGAGGUAGAGAGCCGCAGGGCUUUACGCCUUGAGGAAAGUCCGGGCUCCGCAGGGCAAGCCGCUCGGCGCAAGCCGAGAGAGAGCGAUCUCUGAGACAGGCCACAGAGACAAGACCGCCGAUGGCCCUUCGGGGAUCAGGCAAGGGUGAAAGGGCGAGGUAAGAGCUCACCGCCAAUCCGGGUGACUGGGUUGUGGCUGGUAAUCCUCCGGCUGGAGCAAGGCCAAGUAAGCAGGUGCUUGAGGGCUGCCCGCCCGAUGCCUGCGGGUAGGCCGCGUAGAAGGAUGGCUCUCGUCCCCUUGUGGGAACAGAACCCGGCUUAUUCCUCUCUUCCUGC
rnacentral:RNase_P_RNA from 1 species